rnacentral:rRNA from 1 species
CUUUAUAUAUUUAAUAAGUUGAAUUUUGUUUUAAGUUAAAAUUCUUAAAUAAUUUUAAAAGACGAGAAGACCCUAUAGAAUUUUAUAAAAUUUUAUCUUAUUAAUAUGAAUUUAUUUAAAAUUAGUUAAUAUUUAAUUUUAUUUUAUUGGGGUUAUAAAAAAAUUUAAUUAAAUUUUUUAGUUGGUGAAUUAUUAAUAAAUUUAUUUUUAAAAAUUAUUAUUUAUAUAAUUAAAUUAAAUUACCUUAGGGAUAACAGCGUAAUAUUUUUUAAAAGUUCAUAUUGGUAAAAAUGU